AAGGCGGGGUUUCCGGGUGCCUUGGUGCCGGUUUCGCUUAGUAGCUGAGCAGGCUGUGCUCUCUGUCCUGCCGCUGGAUGCUGUGGAGGGUGUUAAGGCAAGCUUCGAAGUUGCGACAUGGAUGCAUUGACUUAUGAUGAUGUGCAUAUGAACUUCACUCGAGAAGAAUGGGCUUUGCUGAAUGCUUCACAGAAGAGUCUUUACAAAGAUGUGAUGUUGGAGAACUACAGAAACCUCAUUGCUGUAGGCUACAAUUGGGAAGAACAUAAUAUUGAAGAACAUUGUAAAAGUUCCAGAAGACAUGGAAGGUAAUUUUUAUGUGCAAAUUGGUAUGAAUAUGCCUCUGAAGAAAUGUUAAUGUGUCC
rnacentral:lncRNA from 1 species